rnacentral:rRNA from 1 species
GACGAACGCUGUCGGCGUGCUUAACACAUGCAAGUCGAACGGAAAGGCCCUGCUUUUGUGGGGUGCUCGAUUGGCGAACGGGUGAGUAACAAGUGAGUAACCUGCCCUUUACUUUGGGAUAACUUCAGGAAACUGGGGCUAAUACCGGUUAGUAGCUCCUGCUGCAUGGUUGGGGUUGGCAAGUUUCGGCGGUUGGGGCUGGACUCGCGGCUUAUCAGCUUGUUGGUGGGGUAGUGGCUUACCAAGGCUUUGACGGGUAGCCGGCCUGAGAGGGUGACCGGCCACAUUGGGACUGAGAUAAGGCCAAGACACCUACGGAAGGCAGCAGUGGGGAAUAUUGCACAAUGGGCGGAAGCCUGAUGGAGCAACGCCGCGUGCGGGAUGACGGCCUUCGGGUUGUAAACCGCUUUCGCAUGUGACGAAGCGUGAGUGACGGUAAUGGGUAAAGAAGCACCGGAUAACUACGUG